rnacentral:rRNA from 1 species
GACGAACGCUGGCGGCGUGCUUAACACAUGCAAGUCGAACGGAAAGGCCCUGCUUUUGUGGGGUGCUCGAGUGGCGAACGGGUGAGUAACACGUGAGUAACCUGCCCUUGACUUUGGGAUAACUUCAGGAAACUGGGGCUAAUACCGGAUAGGAGCUCCUGCUGCAUGGUGGGGGUUGGAAAGUUUCGGCGGGUGGGGAUGGACGCGCGGCUUAUCAGCUUGUUGGUGGGGUAGUGGCUUACCAAGGCUUUGAACGGUAGCCGGCCUGAGAGGGUGAACGGCCACAUUGGGACUGAGAUACGGCCCAGAGUGCAACGGGAGGCAGCAGUGGGGAGUAUUGCACAAUGGGCGGAAGCCUGAUGCAGAGACGCCGCGGGCGGGAUGACGGCCUUCGGGUUGUAAACCGCUUUCGCCUGUGACGAAGCGUUAGUGACGGUAAUGGGUAAAGAAGCACCGGCUAACUACGUG